rnacentral:rRNA from 1 species
UACGAAGGGGGCUAGCGUUGUUCGGAAUCACUGGGCGUAAAGCGCGCGUAGGCGGCUCUUUAAGUCAGGGGUGAAAUCCCGAGGCUCAACCUCGGAACUGCCUUUGAUACUGGGGAUCUCGAGUCCGGGAGAGGUGAGUGGAACUGCGAGUGUAGAGGUGAAAUUCGUAGAUAUUCGCAAGAACACCAGUGGCGAAGGCGGCUCACUGGCCCGAUACUGACGCUGAGGUGCGAAAGCGUGGGGAGCAAACAGG